AUAUCUCAAUUCUCAAUAUCUGUGAUACCACUGAAUUAAAAUAUUUGUUAUAAUCGAGAAAUCUUAGUUGCAAAAUUAUUUGAUUAAUUGUUUAUAGUGAUUUUGUAUCACGUGGAGAACGCACGGUACUAUCUUGCAUCGUGGCGGAACGCGUAAACCGAAAAAUAACAUAACAUUCUUCUUUAAUUCUUUUUCAUUGUCUCACAUUUUUCGUAAACUUCUCGUACAAAUUGUUCAAAACCAAUGGCGUCUAAUAAAAGACAGCGACAGCCAGAAGGAGUACAGAAGAUAACAGCAUUUUUAACAAAAAAAACCAAGUCUAGUACUGAACAACCUGAUCCAGGGUCAAGUAUUUUAAAUACUAAAACAAAUGAAGUUACAGAAUCUGAUGUUCAAUCCAAUGUCAAUGAAUGUAUGUUUUUUACUAAUUUAAUUGGUUUAUUUUGUGUAUAUUAUUUAGUGAAAUCAAUGUUUGCAAUUGUAAUGCUUUUGUGAUUUUGUUGAGUGUUUUUAUAUCUCAUGAUUAGUUCCUAUGUAUUUUAGAUAGAAAUGUUAUGCUAAGUAAUGUUAUUAAUUUGUUAAUUAUUUGUUAGGUACAUAUAAAUAUUUUUCUUUUUUAUAUUUUAUCUACAUAAACUGCAAUAAUAUAUGUUAUUUUGUUUUAACUAAUUAAUUAAACAAUAAUAUUAUACUAUACUAUAGUAGGUACAUUUUAUUAUUUUAAUCAAUAAGUAACUACUAUAAUAUUUUAUAUUAUCCAUGCUUACAUCUACAUGUGAAAACCAAUCCUUGUUUAACAAUGUCUGUUGUAUUAAAUGAUCAAGAUCCUGCAUUGAAUGUUAAUGCAUACCAUCUGAUUAGUAAUAACUUUGGCCCAUACCAACCAAAAGACAUUCAGUUUCCACGGGUAAACGGUAGGUCAUUCAGACAGGAUUGGUAUGUUCUACAUGAGUGGCUAGAGUACAGCC